GGUGGCUCAGAGGUUAAAGCGUCUGCCUGCAAUGCAGGAGACCCGGGUUCGAUCCCUGAGAAGCCU
rnacentral:tRNA from 1 species